rnacentral:rRNA from 1 species
CCUACGGGAGGCAGCAGUGGGGAAUUUUGGACAAUGGGCGAAAGCCUGAUCCAGCCAUUCCGCGUGAGUGAAGAAGGCCUUCGGGUUGUAAAGCUCUUUCGCAAGGGAAGAAAACUUAGUUACUAAUAUUAACUGAGGUUGACGGUACCUUGAUAAGAAGCACCGGCUAACUACGUGCCAGCAGCCGCGGUAAUACGUAGGGUGCGAGCGUUAAUCGGAAUUACUGGGCGUAAAGCGUGCGCAGGCGGUUUUGUAAGUCAGAUGUGAAAUCCCCGAGCUCAACUUGGGAACUGCGUUUGAAACUACAAGACUAGAAUAUGUCAGAGGGGGUAGAAUUCCACGUGUAGCAGUGAAAUGCGUAGAGAUGUGGAGGAAUACCAAUGGCGAAGGCAGCCCCCUGGGAUAAUAUUGACGCUCAUGCACGAAAGCGUGGGGAGCAAACAGGAUUAGAUACCCUGGUAGUCCACGCCCUAAACGAUGUCUACUAGUUGUUGGUGGAGUAAAAUCCAUGAGUAACGCAGCUAACGCGUGAAGUAGACCGCCUGGGGGAUACGGUCGCAAGNUUAAAACUCAAAAGGAUUGACGGNUGAGAGNGCGAGACGACGACGAGGGAGAGG